AUACGGAGGGGGUUAGCGUUGUUCGGAAUUACUGGGCGUAAAGCGUACGUAGGCGGAUUAGUAAGUUAGGGGUGAAAUCCCGAGGCUCAACCUCGGAACUGCCUCUAAAACUGCUAGUCUUGAGUUCGAGAGAGGUGAGUGGAAUUCCUAGUGUAGAGGUGAAAUUCGUAGAUAUUAGGAGGAACACCAGUGGCGAGGGCGGCUCACUGGCUCGAUACUGACGCUGAGGUACGAAAGUGUGGGGAGCAAACAGGAUUAGAAACCCUAGUAGUCC
rnacentral:rRNA from 1 species